rnacentral:rRNA from 1 species
UACGUAGGCAGCGAGCGUUGUUCGGAAUUACUGGGCGUAAAGAGUGUGUAGGCGGUGCUCCCAGUCUGUUGUGAAAUCUCCCGGCUUAACUGGGAGGGUGCAGCGGAAACUAGAGUGCUAGAGGGUGGGAGAGGUAAGCGGAAUUCCUGGUGUAGCGGUGGAAUGCGCAGAUAUCAGGAGGAACACCGAUGGCGAAGGCAGGUCACUGGGCCGCAACUGACGCUGAGGAGCGAAAGCAUGGGGGGCGAACAGG